rnacentral:rRNA from 1 species
GCAUAUCAAUAAGCGGAGGAAAAGAAACCAACAGGGAUUGCCCUAGUAACGGCGAGUGAAGCGGCAACAGCUCAAAUUUGAAAUCUGGCGUCUUUGGCGUCCGAGUUGUAAUUUGCAGAGGGCGCUUUGGCAUUGGCAGCGGUCCAAGUUCCUUGGAACAGGACGUCACAGAGGGUGAGAAUCCCGUACGUGGUCGCUAGCCUUUACCGUGUAAAGCCCCUUCGACGAGUCGAGUUGUUUGGGAAUGCAGCUCUAAAUGGGAGGUAAAUUUCUUCUAAAGCUAAAUACUGGCCAGAGACCGAUAGCGCACAAGUAGAGUGAUCGAAAGAUGAAAAGCACUUUGGAAAGAGAGUUAAAAAGCACGUGAAAUUGUUGAAAGGGAAGCGCUUGCAGCCAGACUUGCCUGUAGUUGCUCAUCCGGGUUUUUACCCGGUGCACUCUUCUAUAGGCAGGCCAGCAUCAGUUUGGGCGGUUGGAUAAAGGUCUCUGUCAUGUACCUCCUUUCGGGGAGAACUUAUAGGGGAGACGACAUGCAACCAGCCUGGACUGAGGUCCGCGC